CUCGCGGGCAGGGCGGAAGCGGCCGCCGUGUUUACAACCCGCGCCGGGGCCGGGACGCGCCGGGCCGGGGGCACCGGCGAGCGCCCCUCGCCCAUGUGCCCGCAGCCCCCGCCGCCCAUGGAAGUGAUGGAGGGGCCCCUCAACCUGGCUCACCAGCAAAGCAGAAAAGCAGACCGCUUGUUGGCAGCAGGGAAAUAUGAAGAAGCAAUUUCUUGUCACAAAAAAGCUGCUGGGUACCUUACAGAUGCGAUGAAGCUGACCCAGUCGGAGCAGGCUCAGCUAUCGCUGGAAUUACAAAGGGAUAGUCAUAUGAAACAGUUACUGCUCAUCCAGGAGAGGUGGAAAAGGGCAAAGAGGGAGGAAAAACUGAAAGCCCAGCAGAGUGCUGACAAGGAAGCAGCCACACAUCUUCAGACUUCUUACAAACCAUCUGCUGAAGACUCUGAUGAUCAAAAUGUACUGGUUCCUGUUGCUCAGAAAUACAGCUCCUCCACAGAGAAACAUUCACAGGAUAUUCGGGGUGUCUUUGACAGGGACCCAGAUACACUUUUAUUUCUGCUUCAGAAAAAAAAGGAGCCAGUGGAAGCAUGUAUUGGGAGUAAAGCGCCAAAAGAUGACAAAACAAUAAUAGAAGAGCAGGCAACCAAAAUUGCAGAUUUGAAGCAGCUCAUAGAAUCUCUUGUAGCUGAAAACGAGAGAUUGAGGAGAGAGAAUAAGCAGUUAAAAGCAGAAAGAGCUAGACUCCAGAAAUCUCCAGUAGACAAAGAGUUGGAUGUAGACACUGACUUUGUCGAGAAGUCAGAGUUGUGGGGUCUGCAGCAGCACUCAGAAUCUGCUUCUUCAGCUGCAACUUGGCAGAAGUUUGCAACAACUGCUGGGAAGGCAAAGGACAUUCCAAUACCCAACCUUCCCCCCCUGGACAUCCCGUCUCCUGAACUCCCGCUGCUGGAACUCUCUGACGAUAUACUGAAAGGACUGAUGAAUAGUUAAAAACCAGGAAAAGUGCUCAGUGUAGUUACCCAAACUUGAGAAAAGGGAAAGCCACCAGGACAAUGGUGAUCUGAGGGCAGAAACAUUUACCACAAUCCUACUGUUGGAGAAAAGGCAUUAAGCAACUUUGUUACUGUGAAAUACACUUCAUAUCUGAUUUACUUCAUGGAAGUUAAAGACUUGGAAGUGCAGCAAGAACACCUUACUGCUCUGCAAAUUCUCCCCUUACUUCUGUAUACCUGGCAUCUUCUGUGCUUGAAGGAGCAUAGGGACUGGAGGUUAGAAAAAGUCUGUAGAAACAGAGUCUGCCUACUCAAUACAACUGCUGCUGAAUCCCAACUCCAGGCAGUAACGCUGAGCACGGGUGUGUUCCACUUUCGUGAGUGAUGCUGAAUUUUUUAAAGUAAGGAAUUCUUCAGUCUGAGUCCAGAGCUAAGCAAUUACUCGGUGCACUGGAAUAAGGUAGGUUGUACCGAGAAUACUCACCACUAGAGGACAGGUUUUACAGAUUGAUAGCAAUAAACCUAGGGAAAUUCUUCUCCCAUUGCUAUCAGCAAUUAAUUUGUGUCACAACAAUUUAAAACUGUUUUAAGUUAUAAAACUUGAGAGCGUGGUGUGGCCGGGCGCGGUGCUCCAGCCGGUGUCCGGCCGGAUCCCGCUCUGCUCGGCGCGGCCAUCGGCUGCCACCUGGUGGGAGCCCGGAGCCCGGCUUGGGCCCUGCCGAGCCGCGGGGACCUCUUCCCUUUCUGGCCGUGCCCUCGCUUUUUUCACCGCCAAACUGAUGGGCUCGGUGCCCGAGCCUGGAGAGAGUAAGGAAGAGGCGUGGUGCGGGAAUGCAGAAGGUGACCGACUAGAGCUGUAGCAGCAGCAACAAAAUGGUAAGUCACUGGUUGUCACAUGGCACGUCACCAUAGCCUGGCACAGCACACAGAAACAUUCCCGGGGUGGUGAGUCUGGGCUGCAUUGUUUUACAGUGGACAGAAUUAAAGAAUCCUGUGGCCCUUUAUUUCAAAGUGUCUCACCAAGAACCAAUUUUAAGUACACAUCCAGACACUGACUUCUAUUCAUAGACUUUGCUUUAACCACAGAAACCACCCUUGUCUUGGCACUCAGAAGUACUGGCCCUGUUGAAUAUUGCCAACAUAUGCUGUGCUGAAAGAAACUGUAAUUAUCCAAUCUCUGGCUGUAUCACCACAGAAAGAGAAACCAAAGAAAGGCAACUGGGAAGUGAUGUGGAGUCUCCUGAGAAUAAAAUGUGCACUACCAGUUGCUACUUAAAAUGAUGGCUAAAACCAAAA